AUUGAACGCUGGCGGCAGGCCUAACACAUGCAAGUCGAACGAGUGGCGGACGGGUUAGUAAUGUCUGGGGAACUGCCCGAUGGAGGGGGAUAACUACUGGAAACGGUAGCUAAUACCGCAUACCAUCGGAUGUGCCCAUAUGGGAUUAGCUAGUAGGUGGGGUAACGGCUCACCUAGGCGACGAUCCCUAGCUGGUCUGAGAGGAUGACCAGCCACACUGGGACUGAGACACGGUCCAGACUCCUACGGGAGGCAGCAGUGGGGAAUAUUGCACAAUGGGCGCAAGCCUGAUGCAGCCAUGCCGCGUGUAUGAAGAAGGCCUUCGGGUUGUAAAGUACUUUCAGCGGGGAGGCGUUACUGGCAGAAGAAGCACCGGCUAACUCCGUGCCAGCAGCCGCGGUAAUAC
rnacentral:rRNA from 1 species